CGGGCACUUCGGAGUUUACAGUAGGAAAGUUAAGCCGGGGGAGAGACAAAGCGAGGCUGUACCCGUCCAUUAAAAAUCUGCGAAUUCCUAAAUUCUAAGCUAUUAUCGAAUAAUUGCUCGACUCAUGCGCUUCUUCUUUUAUGCACCUCUUCUCAGCUUAUACUUCCAAUUCGCUCUGUCAACCCUAGAAUCAGAUUGUUGUUUUGAGCAGAAAACUGCAGUGUUAAAUCUCUGUUGAACUUUAAUACGUGACUGUGAUUGAUAACCCACAAUCAGCCUCUGGGAAUGGUGAGGAUAAUGUUGGGUUCCGGAUGAUUUGCAUUGCAAGAGGUCAGAUGGGAAACAAUGGAGAUGCACUGCCAUGUCUAUGCCAGAUAAAACGGUUUGUGAGAAGCACUACAUACAGGCAAAGAGGAGAGCAGCUAAUUCUGCUUUAAGAGCUAGUCUAAAGAAAGCUAAAAGGAAAUCAUUGGGUGAAAGUGAUAUAUACUUGGAGAGUAAGAAUGAUGAUUUCGAUACACCACUCGUGAAUAUGAAGGUUGACAACCAUCCUCUUUCAGCCUCCAAAAAGAAGAAUAAAGAAAAGGUAUCAAAAAAUCAGGUUCAGUAUUCACCAGAAACACCUAUAAGAAGUCUGUCUGUGCGAAAUUCUCUAAAGCCAAAUGAUGAAUUGCGAAAAGAUCUAGAGCCUGAAGAGAAUUGGAAGUCGUAUAAAACGCCACCCUUUUCUACAAUGGAUUCAUCCAGGAGCAGGUCACAGAGGAGCUUUGAUGCCAGUGCUAUGACAGAAUACUCUGAUGGAAGCACAGAUUCUUCCGAAGAUGCUGGUGGGCAAACUUGCCAUCAGUGUCGAAGAAAUGAUAGAAACAGAGUAAUUUGGUGUCGCAGAUGUGAUAGAAGAGGCUUUUGCGAUAACUGUAUUUCUGCAUGGUACUCAGAAAUUUCAUUGGAAGAAAUUGAAAAGGUUUGUCCUGCAUGUCGUGGUAUCUGUAAUUGCAAGGUGUGCUUACGAGGGGAUAAUAUGGUAAAGGUAAGAAUACGAGAGAUACCUGUCAUAGACAAGUUGCAAUAUCUCUACUGUGUACUAUCUUCAGUACUCCCUGUAGUUAAGCAUAUCCAUCAUGAACAAUGCUCUGAAGUAGAACUGGAGAAGAAACUCCGUGGAACUGAUAUAGAUCUUAUCCGUGCCAAAUUGAAUGCAGAUGAGCAGAUGUGCUGCAAUGUAUGUAGGAUACCUAUCAUUGAUUAUCAUCGGCAUUGUGCAAAUUGCUCUUAUGAUCUAUGCCUUCAUUGCUGUCAAGAUCUUCGGGAAGCAUCAACGCAUCCUCUAGUAGAAAACCAGAUGGGUGGGAGGAGUCAAGACAAAGAGACUUUGUCAAAGGAAGUGAAAGAACCCAGGCUAAGACUCAAUUUGUCUGCCAAUUAUCCUGACUUGAAGGCAAAUCGUGAUGGCAGCAUUUCAUGCCCGCCAAAGGAGUAUGGUGGUUGUAAUUAUUCUUCAUUGAAUUUAAGUCGCAUUUUCAAGAUGAACUGGGUGGCAAAACUGGUGAAAAAUGUGGAGGAAAUGGUUAGUGGUUGUAAGGUCUGCGAGGCUGGCACUCUGCCAAUAUCUAGGUUAAAUGAUUCCACACUCUCUCAGUAUUCUCAUAGGGAGGAAAGUGAUGAUAAUUUCUUAUAUUGUCCAUCAUGUGAAGACAUAAGGACUGAAGGGAUAAACAAUUUCAGGAAGCAUUGGGUUAAGGGUGAGCCUGUUAUUGUGAAGCAGAUAUUUGAUAGCUCAUCCAUCUCAAGCUGGGAUCCAAUGGUCAUAUGGAGAGGGAUUCGGGAAACAUCAGAUGAGAAAAUGAAAGAUGAGAACAGAGUAGUGAAGGCCAUAGAUUGCUUAAAUUGGUCUGAGGUUGAUAUUGAACUUAGUCAGUUUAUAAAGGGAUACUCAGAGGGACGAAUUCGUGAUGAUGGUUCGCUACAGAUGUUGAAGUUGAAGGACUGGCCUUCCCCCAGUGCUUCUGAAGAGUUCUUAUUAUACCAGAGACCUGAAUUUAUUAGUAAAAUGCCUCUACUUGAGUAUAUCCAUUCAAGGUUGGGUCUUCUAAAUGUUGCUGCAAAGCUGCCUCAUUAUUCCUUGCAGAACGAUGCUGGACCCAAGAUUUAUAUAUCUUACGGGACCUAUGAGGAACUUGGUAAAGGUGAUUCACUGACCAAUCUGCAUAUCAAGAUGCGUGACAUGGUAUAUCUAUUGGUGCAUACACAUGAAGUGAAGCUUAAAAAUUUUGAGGGAAAUGAGUCACUUGACCAAGAAACAAGCUUGGGUGAAGGAACAUUAGCUGAUUUAUCAGUUGGCAGGCAGGAUUUACAGGAUGAAACAAAUACAGCUGCAGAUAACGAUGAGAGAAUGGAGGAGGAUCAAGGGGUUGAAACUACCACUAUGGUUGGAGAGGUUGAGAAAAUUGACAAUCGAGGGGUUGAAACUAACAGAAUGGAGUAUGUUGAGAGAAUGAAGGAUCAAAAAUUAAGGAAAGAUAAUGGAGAUAUCUCUGCAGAGACUCGUCCAGGUGUUCACUGGGAUGUCUUUCGUCGGCAGGAUGUUCCAAAAUUAAUUGAUUAUUUGAAAAAGCACUUUAAGGACUUUGGGAAGUUCGACGCUUCAGGAAGUCAAUUUGUGAAACAUUCUCUUUGUGAUGGAACAGUUUUCCUGAAUGGGAAUCAUAUGAGAAAAUUGAAGGAAACAUUUGGAAUUGAGCCAUGGUCGUUUGAGCAGCAUUUGGGGCAGGCUGUCUUUGUCGCUGCUGGAUGCCCUUUCCAAGUAAGGAAUCUUCAGGUGAGUUCAUUGUGACUGAUUGCCAUUGAAAGUUGGACAUAUUUAUAUUUCUGUAUAUGUCUUCAUUGUUUCUUAAAUUUAAGGUAAUUUUUAAUAUCUCGACUCGUAGACAAUGACGAAUCAAAUGUAAGUCCCAUGUAUUUUACUUUCAAAUGAUUGGAUAUCAAUUGAUAUCAAUUAAUUGAAUGGUCUAUGUUUUGUCUGUUCUUAGAUCACAUGUCUAGUGUGGAAAUUGAAAGUAUGUUUUUCUCUUCCAACAGGGAGACAUUCCUUGCUUGCUAUUGGAUAGAACAGAUUUCUGCAUUACUUUGCUAAAGAGUCUGAGUCAGUUUUCUUAAUUCAGAAUUCCAGUGAAAGUUUGCAGCUUUGAAUGUUUUAGUUUUGUUUCCUCGCAUGUAUUUGCGGUCCACUGUUCAGCUGGGUUUUGAUUUCUUAUCCCCUGAAAGUGUGGGGGAAGCUGCUAAAUUGGCUGAGGAAAUACGCAGUCUUCCAAAUGACCAUGAAGCAAAACUUCAAGUUUUGGAGGUCAGACAAAGGGAAUUUUCCUUAAAAUUAUUAAAUAUUUAUUCCUGAAAUUAUUUUGUGUGCCUUAUCUUCCAACUGCCUAUUACUUGUCCUGUUUGUGUCAAUGGAUUUUCUUAAUUUUCUUUGGGUCUUGAUACAGGUAGGAAAGAUAUCACUGUAUGCUGCUAGUUCAGCCAUUAAGGAAGUCCAGAAAUUGGUGCUUGAUCCUAAGUAAGCAAUAAGGCCUAAAAUUUGCCUAACGUUAGAUUAGUGUUUUGGUUUUGAUUUGUUCCUUUAGGCAAAGGAUGAGAAAUAGAAUAAUGUAUAUCAUUGAUCUAUUGGCCUGGUGGUUGUGGACCUAUGGCUUUAGCUUAGAAAAGUAGGGUAGGAAGUUACAAACUGGUUUUGCUCAAGUUUUCUCCAUGUUCUUUCCUAAUGCAUUCGCCAAAUCUUCUAAGUUUUUUGUUAUAUCUAUCUCAUCUCUUUUCUGUCCAGCACACCUUUUGCAGAAAUGCUAAGAGAUCUUUCUCUGUUGCAGACUUGGUGCAGAGAUUGGGUUUGAGGAUCCGAAUCUAACUGCGGCUGUUUCUGAAAACUUGGAGAAAGUUUCUAAGCAAAGAGAUAAGUUGUGCUUGAAUUCGUGUACAGUACUUGUAAUUUAGAUAUAGGAAAAUCGAAAGUAUCUGCCAUGGUGCUUGAUGGAAUUUAAAUGUAUAAAUGUAUUUAUAUGCAAUAUCAUGUAAUGUAAGUGUCUUCUGCAUUUAGGAUUUUCUAGAUUAGCGCCUUGUUUUUUAGAUAAUAUGGCACUUGUAAUUUUUUGUUUUAAAAAAGAUAAAGUCAAAGAGAAUAGUUUAAUGUCAUCUCUGUUUGAUUCAAUAUCAGAACUUUGUUGUUUCAUUUCAU
rnacentral:misc_RNA from 1 species